rnacentral:rRNA from 1 species
UACGUAGGGGGCAAGCGUUGUCCGGAAUCAUUGGGCGUAAAGCGCGUGUAGGCGGCUCAGUAAGUCCGCUCUGAAAGCCCAGAGCUCAACUCUGGAAUGGCCUUUGAGACUAGAGGACUUGGGUACGGGAGAGGUGAGUGGAAUUCCGAGUGUAGAGGUGAAAUUCGUAGAUAUUCGGAAGAACACCAGUGGCGAAGGCGGCUCACUGGCCCGUUACCGACGCUCAGGCGCGACAGCGUGGGGAGCAAACAGG